rnacentral:lncRNA from 1 species
AUGCAGGAGAGCACCUACAACAUCUCCUUGAGCUCCACAGCAACCCAGCAGGUGCCAAGAAAAGGCCAUGCGGGCAGAGAGAAGAUGGCUCUGCACUAACCAGGAGGAGGACCCUCACCAGAGCCUAACCACCCCUGUACCCUGAUCUCAGACUUCAGUCUCCAGCACCCCACAUGGGAUUCCCCUGAAACACAGUGAGUCAAAUCAAAGAGCUCUCACCCAAAGUUCCAGAAGAAAAUAAACAAAAUGAAACCUGAGGCA